AACACUGUUAACCUGCGGUACCUGCGGAAGGAUCAUUACCGUGCCGGGGGCCCUUCGGGGUCCCAUUGUGCCACCCGUGUUUACUUGUACCUGUUGCUUCGGCGGGCCUGCGAGCCUCGCUCGCUGCCGGGGGACCUAGUCCCCGGGCGCGUGCCCGCCGGAGACACACUUAAACUACUCUAACGGAUACGUCUGAGCCAAUGAUCUAAUCAUUAAAACUUUCAACAACGGAUCUCAGAU
rnacentral:misc_RNA from 1 species